rnacentral:misc_RNA from 1 species
GCAUUUCCAGCAAAACUGCGCAGCGGUUUUGCGUUGGAAAAUGCGACAAAAUAAAUGGUUGGAGUGGUUCCAGUGGCUUCGUUUCAACUGGAACCGCUUUAAAACAUGUCAAUAAACUGGCAUUCGUGCGGCG